rnacentral:rRNA from 1 species
GACGAACGCUGGCGGCGUGCUUAACACAUGCAAGUCGAACGGAAAGGCCCUGCUUUUGUGGGGUGCUCGAGUGGCGAACGGGUGAGUAACACGUGAGUAACCUGCCCUUGACUUUGGUAUAACUUCAGGAAACUGGGGCUAAUACCGGAUAGGAGCUCCUGCUGCAUGGUGGGGGUUGGAAAGUUUCGGCGGUUGGGGAUGGACUCGCGGCUUAUCAGCUUGUUGGUGGGGUAGUGGCUUACCAAGGCUUUAACGGGUAGCCGGCCUGAGAGGGUGACCGGCCACAUUGGGACUGAGAUACGGCCCAGACUCCUACGGGAGGCAGCAGUGGGGAAUAUUGCACAAUGGGCGGAAGCCUGAUGCAGCAACGCCGCGUGCGGGAUGACGGCCUUCGGGUUGUAAACCGCUUUCGCCUGUGACGAAGCGUGAGUGACGGUAAUGGGUAAAGAAGCACCGGCUAACUACGUG